CAGCCACACUGGAACUGAGACACGGUCCAGACUCCUACGGGAGGCAGCAGUGGGGAAUAUUGGACAAUGGGCGCAAGCCUGAUCCAGCCAUACCGCGUGGGUGAAGAAGGCCUUCGGGUUGUAAAGCCCUUUUGUUGGGAAAGAAAAGCAGCCGGUUAAUACCCGGUUGUUCUGACGGUACCCAAAGAAUAAGCACCGGCUAACUUCGUGCCAGCAGCCGCGGUAA
rnacentral:rRNA from 1 species